rnacentral:lncRNA from 1 species
UUUCAUAUUUAGCCAGUUGGAGCUGAUCGUUGGCAAAGCUAGUUCUUUCGAAUUUAGUCAAUUGGGGCUGAUCACUGGUAUAUAUUGAUUCGUCAAAUGUAUAGAUUUCAGAACUUGUCUCUUUACCUUAUCAUGGGACUAUCGUACCUGUAUGAAUCAGAGCUAAUUUUUUUUGAGCCUAGCCAGUAGGGGCUGAUCGCUGGCAUACAUUGAUGCAUCACAUAUUUAUUAUUUAAAGGCU